rnacentral:lncRNA from 1 species
AGUUUAUAUUUGAUGUGUUUGUAUUAUUUUAGAAUUUACUGUUUUAGACACGUGGCAUGUGGUAUCCCACUAAUUAGCUAUUUUAAACAUGUGACAAGUGGUAUGACACUGUAUUGAUGUAUGUGAAAUGUAUAGAGUCUUUCAGUUAUCAGGUAAUGUCAAGG